UUUUUAUUAAGGAAGAGUACAACAAAGUAAAGGAACGCAUGAGACGUUAUCUUGUGGCAGGAGCUGAGCGCGGUGUCGCGUGUCCGGCCAGCCAGCCGGACACGCUGGGAGCGGAGCCGAAGGGUCAGACGAGGGUUGAUGUAAUCAUCUAGGUCCUCGCUGAUGUGAGGGUUCCAAAUUGACUUAGAGCCAUGUGUUAAAUAGCCACGUCUAUUGGUCUAAUGGCUUACACAAAUCGUGCUUAUGUACAUGCCAUAUAGUUCGGCCACCUACUCACGCCUCUCCCUCAAGGUGCCUCAAGGUGCCUUUGGCUUCAAAGGGUGACCCAACUUUGGCUGGUCCUGAUUUGCUGGUCAUCUCGUUCUCGCCUGCCUUGUCCUUUGCCCAUCUUCGUGGCUGCUCGUCCUUGUCGUCCUCUUCUUCUUCCAGGUCCUUGGUGUAAUCCAUUCGUCCUCGAAUGGAUUUCACCAAUGGAUAACUUCGGACUUGUCUGAAUUUACGGGCGACCGGGCAGGCGGUGUCCUCUUCGGCAUCUCAGGGCAGCUGAUACCUGCGCUGACGAGCUUCUGGAGUUUGAUUGGAUCUGUGGGCGUCCAGGAAGGCGUAUGGUGGGGAGACGUCAGUAGCGAUCCGCAUGGACCUGGCUUGAACCACCAACCAUCUCUGAUAGACAUAAGAGUAGAUAAGGGAAACGACAACGGCAAUCCGCAAGGAUUUACUUGAACCAAUUGUCGUCACACACAGAAGAAAUGUACGCAUGAUAAGAAAUUGGACAACAAAUACUAGCCACUCGUCACGACUGGCAAAAUCACGGGCAAAAGAGGAACAUCACCUGCAACUACAACAGCAACAACCCUAUUAUGAAAAGGUUUCAGUGUCCUUUGUUCUGCGUGGACGAGUGAAUUAGUGAGCGUGUGUGUGUGAACGAUGGUGAGUGUUAAGGUGAGAGUUAGCCCACACAGAGAAUGAAUCACAAGCAAGAAGAUGAACGUUCAUUUUAACAACAAUGCGAUAAACUAGCAAUGAAAUUUAUACAAAAAUAAUUAAACUACCACAAUGAAUUCAACAUUUAAUGAUAUGCCACGUCUUGCAUAGCUUGACAUGGCUGCCGAUCGAACUAUCGUACCGUCGGAGCGUAGAUCUGUUGGGCGUUAUACGCAACCCCGGGUUACAUCGGGCAUCUCUGUGCACUAUGAUAUGGGGAAGAGUCUAACGCUAUACUCAAAAUAGUAAAUUUACAUAAAAAUCGCGUUACAAGCUCCGCUCUAGCGCAGAUAGAAUCGUCACAAUGAGCAUUGUGACGAUGCUACGGUUAUCCCUAUGGAGUCAACAACAACCAAACUACGGGAAAAACGAGCGGUCACCCCAUGCCCCUUCCACAUACCCAACCGACAGGAAGGGAAAGAAAAGUGAGGUCAGUUCGGGUCGUAAAGAGGAACGAGAUCCAUUAAUAAACUUAUAUGAUGUCCAUGAUAACGGUACAAAAUCACGAACGCGUUAAAUCCGUUGUAUGUGAAACAAUAAAAAAAAAAAAAAACUAAUAACGAGAAAAUUAUUAAAUACUACAUUAAUUAACGAUAUUUCGUGUUUGUUGACAAAUGCCGUGAUCAGACAGUAAUGCGAUCUAAGGUCAGAAGAAUAGUGUGAGACGCUGCGAUUUCGUCACUCGGCGUUUUACCCAACAAAACCAACGUGAGAGUGACUGCACAUGACUACUAUGGCAGGCAACGUUCCCCCGAUGGAAAAGAUUUCUCCAUUUUUUCCCAAGACUACAACAAACUCCUUAAACAUCUGUAUUGGUAAGUCUUAAACAAUAACCAUUAUCUUUUAUCAGCGUCAUUUUACCACAAACAUCUUGGUAACUAUUUGUAAAAGCAUUCUUUUGGUUUCAUCGUAAUAUUCUGCCCCGAACCCCUUUACCCAGUUUCUCCUGACAUCAGGUAAUAACAACCUCCUCCCUCAGUACAAGUAUGAAGUUCGAAAGUCAACCUUGCCCUCUUAGAAAUAUGAAAUGUACAUAUAUAGAAUGGCUCUGUUGCACCCCAAGAGGAAAUCAGAAAAAAAAGUCUUCUUGGACGUACUUUAUUACUAGAUGCUGUACAAAGGUUGAAACUGUUUGUAUACAACAAAUGAAAGAAUGAACGAUACAAGGCCAAAAAACAGGCCUCCUUUCAGUCCUCCAAAUGGAUGAGAAUGAAGCCCUAAAGUGUGAUUGAUCAACAGCAGAGGCAAUCUUGUUGGAAUCAGUCCAUCAUAUUCACAGUCCGUUUUGCCAGUUGCGUGAGAAAUAAAAUCUGAAUAUUUGUGUUUGAAGCUUCACUUUUAAACCCCAUCACAAACUAGGAAAUAUAUAUGUAGUUUUGGACUUUCCUUCUUAAGUAAUGAGUCAUAUUACCUCAGGGCAAAAGGAUUUUAAACAGAAAAAAAGAUAAUAUACAACUUAGCAUAUAAAUACGCACCUAAUGACUGUACAUUUAAUAAUGAUCUAGUAAAAAAUAAUAGUUACAAUUGCCCUUGGAAAUAAGGAAUAUACUUCUCAAUAGCUUAUCCUGCUUAACACUUUGCACUCAAGCCAUGUCUGUGUUUCUGCAUCAUAAGUUACUAAUUUCAGUGAUCAUAUAAACUUUUACCUUUUUUUUUUUUUUUUUUUUGAGUGCUUGACAUCUGCUCAAGUCCCUAAGGUACUGACUGACUUCACACAAGCUGCUUAACCAGUCAGACACUCUACAGUCACUGCAGAAGUCAAGUACUCUUUCAAACAAAACUGGAAACAUGUGGCAUAGUAGUAAGAGAAAUAAAACAUUGAAAAUCAACUUCAAUUCAGUUUUGGUUUACAGUUUGUGCAUCACUGGGAAAUUCAGUAAUGAAGAAAAAUGAGAAUAAUCUACCUUAGUAUCUUUUUUGUGAUAGAAUAUGAGGAAAAAAAUAAGCUGUGACCUUAACUUGACAGAAUAUUAGUAUUCUAUCUUUCAAUAAUAAAGAACAACUAAGACACAAGAAAAAUUCUUCCAGAGUAAAAUACAUUCGACUGUCGAAUGUUUAUUUGUAUUUCCAUAAUGAUAAACUUUACUAGUUUAACAAUGAAAAGCAGAUAGAAAUCUUACAGUCACUGGGAUUCACAAGUUUAGAAAGACAAUGUGAUGAACCUUUUCUGUGAUGAGUAUAAAAAAAAACCCACUGACACCCUAAUUUGUCUUGGCAUUCAAAAUACAUCACAUCUUACACAUUAAAAUAGGGAAAGGGAAGAUAUGAGGAGCCUAUAUUUUUUAGUCACCACUCGGCUAUCACAACUAUAUUAUCAGUGACCAGAGAAAUAAAUACUGGAAAAAAAUAAAUACAUAAAUAAAAAUCUAUGGCCACCAAAAUGCCCCAUUGGCCUUUCAAAUUACUGUAGAAAUUAUGUUUGUAAUUCAAGCAGUUAAAAAAAAAAUACACAUACAUUUAACACCACCUUUAUUACCCUCCUCCUAUAGUCUGCCAUAAUAUCCAAACUUACAUAAAUUCACAGCAGGUCUAUUAAGAAAAAAAUAAAAAAUACAAUACGCUGAAUAUUUUUUUUCAUUUUCUUCUUUCAUCUCAGGUAAUGACUAAAAAAUUGGCCUGUACACUUAAUACAUAUUUUACAGAGCUGCUGACGGUCAAGGCUGGAUUGAAGGUCCCAGGCUUGCAUCAUGAAAAUAAUAUCUUAUCCAUAAAGUAUCUAAAAAUAUUAUUCUAAUUACACAGAAGACUAUAUUUUUUCUUGUAUUUCCAGAUUCACUGCAUAGCCUCUACUCUACAUGUAAAUAAAUAUUAAUCUCUACAUUGGCUACUACACAGCACAUAUGUACAUAUUAUCCCUGCCAAAUCAUACCCAUGAGAAACUAGGGAAAGGGCCUUUUUGCACCAGUGACUUAAGGGUCAUUUUCACGCACCAGCCAAGACGACCCUUGAGGUUGAAGAUGGCGAUGUUCACAGCACGUCCAAAUGCUUAUCAAUGGUGUGCAGCAAGAUCGCGCAGAGUUUGGAAAUUCAAAUCAUGCCAGUACCAAAAUAAUACAAACUUUGGUGAUUUGCAAACAAAAGUCAUUGAAUCGUUCCCAUUUCUCGCCUACAAUGAUUUGUGUACACAGUUUCUUUAUAUCAUACAAAAGGUGAAGAGUCAAAGACUACCAUAUAAAGACAUUAGUUCUCAUUGUGAAGCACUCCAUCCUAAUAUACUUUGGCCAUUUGCAAAACGUCAUAAAAUUAUUACUAUAUCGUUUUAACAUAAUAAUGCACCAAAGGGCUAUGAUUGGACACGGAUGUAGGAAGAUUCGUGCUAAAAUGCCAAGUAACAACACUAGCUUCCAGUUUGGCCAUUUACUCAAAAUAAUUUGGGCUGAAUGUCUCUUACUCCAAACUCAACAUUCACAAAGAAUUCGGCCCCAGGAGUCUUAGAAUAAGGCAGAUGGUGCUCGUUUGGGCUCUGUGUUUUUUUCCUUUUUGUUUUUCUUUUAACUCUUUUUUUUAUGUCUUACUAAUGUGUUUUAUAAUCUAUAAAGUAGCUGGACUGGACCUGGAUAACUUGUGUUUAGCAAUUAUAUUCAAAGCUGUCUGUAGUUAUUCACUUUUUUUCCUGAACAACAUGACAAGGAAGUCUUACCUGCUGUGUUGUGCACUUUCUGAAUGACCACGUUUCUUUUUGGAAGUUAAAAAUCCCUGAAUGAUACUAACCUAUAUGCCAAAAAUAAAGGCCAUUCAUUAUCAAUACAUUUAUCAUUAUGAUUUUUCUGCACAGAUCUUAACAUUAGAAACUUUCAAAUAUGGCUCUGUUGGUGCAGUUAUUAAAUGGCAAGCACAUAAUGUAUAAAACUGUCUUUGGUUAGAUUAAGCUUUAUUUGUAGAGCAAAAAAAAAAAUUGAUAAUAAUAAUGAUUAUAAAUAUUAAUGAUAAUAUAAUAAUAAUAACCAUAAUAAAAAAAAAAAUCUUUAAAAAUGCCGUUGUGAAGGAAUGGCAUGUCUUCGUAAGCACCAAAGGAUUUAUUUAAUCUAUAACGGAAUCAUUUCCACAUUACAAGAAUUGCAGUACUCCUUCUCUCACUCUUUCAGCCAAGACUCGCAAAAAGGCUACAUGAUACGAGUGACAGCGCCUCGGAACUGAUGCACAGGAGCAUACAGGAGCAUUUUUUGGCCCUCGUUAUAUUCACCAUCUGUUUCCUUUACUCUUUUUUCUUUUCUUUUCUUUUUCUUUUGGUAUGUGUGUGUGUGUGUUUUAAGUAAUUUUUUUUUUUCUUCUUCUGAGGUAUUCUGUAAGUUACAAAACAAAUCCCACUGAAG
rnacentral:lncRNA from 1 species